rnacentral:rRNA from 1 species
GACGAACGCUGGCGGCGUGCUUAACACAUGCAAGUCGAACGGAAAGGCCCUGCUUUUGUGGGGUGCUCGAGUGGCGAACGGGUGAGUAACACGUGAGUAACCUGCCCUUUACUUUGGGAUAACUCCAGGAAACUGGGGCUACUACCGGAUAGGAGCUCCUGCUGCAUGGUGGGGGUUGGAAAGUUUCGGCGGUUGGGGAUGGACUCGCGGCUUAUCAGCUUGUUGGUGGGGUAGUGGCUUACCAAGGCUUUGACGGGUAGCCGGCCUGAGAGGGGGACCGGCCACAUUGGGACUGAGAGAGGGCCCAGACUGCUACGGGAGGCAGCAGUGGGGAAUAUUGCACAAUGGGCGGAAGCGUGAUGCAGCAACGCCGCGUGCGUGAUGACGGCCUGCGGGUUGUAAACCGCUUUCGCCUGUGACGAAGCGUGAGUGACGGUAAUGGGUAAAGAAGCACCGGCUAACUACGUG